rnacentral:lncRNA from 1 species
CUCAUGCUAGAUCCAGCUACAGAAAUAGAAGUCCCAGUGCUAGGAGUUACAAUCCAUCCCCAAACAGGACAAAAACUGUCUUUGGGUGGGACGUACAUGAAUCCCCUUACAGGAACAGUGACGCCUCUUGAAAUUGGAGGACCUAUGAUUGAACCAGAGGGAGGAAAGAUUGUCCCAAUACUUGGAGUCAGUUUGGAUAAUAACACAGGAGAUUUGGUCCCAGUUGGGGGGCUGAUGGGACCCUCGGGAAGCCUAUUGCUUCUUGGAGAUUCCUUCUCUGAACCUCUGAGUAGGAAGACUGCUCGGAUACAUGGAGCUUGCCUUAAACAAGAUAAAGUGCUGCCCCAUGCAGGAGGGUACCAGGCGCUGUUGGAAGCUAACACUCUUGUCACCCAGAUCCAUGUGAUUAAAGCCCUGAGGCAGUAUAAAGAUUCAAUUUGUGAAGAUAUGGCCUCAGCAGCAGACAAGCAGGAAGUCUUCAAGGCUGCAGUAGAAGACAUGAAAAAGUCAUUGUCAAUUAGGCUCCAUCAUGCAAUUCAUCGGCUGCGAAGUUUGGAGAAACAACACGAAAUAGCUUCAAGCCUCAAAAGUAAUGGUGGUAAACUGGGGAUUAUCAAAUAUCCUGGUACAGAGAUGUGGAUUCCUGCAGUGUUUGGAAUGAAAAUCCCAGAUCCUGGUGGGUCAGGUUUGAUGGUGCCCAUCCUAGGAGUAGAAUGUCAUUGGAACACUGGGCAUCCAACCCCACUAGCAGGAACCAUGGAAGAUGCAGAUGGAAAAGGUGGAGGAAGAAACUGGAUCAUACAACAUAAAGCCA